rnacentral:rRNA from 1 species
GAUGAACGCUGGCGGUGUGCCUAAUACAUGCAAGUCGAGCGCAGGAAGCUGACGGAACUCUUCGGAGGGAAGGCAGCGGAAUGAGCGGCGGACGGGUGAGUAACACGUAAGGAACCUGCCUCAAGGAUUGGGAUAACUCCGAGAAAUCGGAGCUAAUACCGGAUAGUUCAACGGACCGCAUGGUCCGCUGAUGAAAGGCGCUCCGGCGUCACCUUGAGAUGGCCUUGCGGUGCAUUAGCUAGUUGGUGGGGUAACGGCCCACCAAGGCGACGAUGCGUAGCCGACCUGAGAGGGUGGUCGGCCACACUGGGACUGAGACACGGCCCAGACUCCUACGGGAGGCAGCAGUAGGGAAUCUUCCACAAUGGACGAAAGUCUGAUGGAGCAACGCCGCGUGAGUGAUGAAGGUUUUCGGAUCGUAAAACUCUGUUGUAAGGGAAGAACACGUACGAGAGGAAAUGCUCGUACCUUGACGGUACCUUACGAGAAAGCCACGGCUAACUACGUGCCAGCCGCCGCUGUAA